UACAGAGGUCUCAAGCGUUGUUCGGAUUCAUUGGGCGUAAAGCGCACGUAGGCGGCGCAGCAAGUCAGGGGUGAAAUCCCGGAGCUCAACUCCGGAACUGCCUUUGAAACUGCAGUGCUAGAAUCUUGGAGAGGCGAGUGGAAUUCCGAGUGUAGAGGUGAAAUUCGUAGAUAUUCGGAAGAACACCAGUGGCGAAGGCGACUCGCUGGACAAGUAUUGACGCUGAGGUGCGAAAGCGUGGGGAGCAAACAGG
rnacentral:rRNA from 1 species